CCAAGACCAAGAUGGAGGUUCGAAAGCCGCUGUGGAUGUGGUGUUAGGAAUUGAAAUGUAAAGAUUCCCGGUAUAAUAGGCCACGAAGAGGGACGGAAAUAAGAGGAAUUAACUAUUUCCUGCCCCUGGAAUAGUCAAGUAGUGUGUGUGCUGGGAGGACCUGAGCCACCUCCACCCCACCCUGCCCUGACACACUGGAUCCCCACCAAACCUCUCCCUGCCCCUCCCUGUGGGGGAGGAGGAGGUCUGCGCCCCGCCCGCCCCGGCCCAAUCACCUUCAGGCUUGGGGCAAAGGGUGCGCUGCGGCUGCCCCGCCCUGACCUGAAGGGCUUCCUGCCACAGGAGGAGGAGGAGGAGGAGGAAGAGGCGCGGGUGCCCCCCGGGGGACACGACAGCGGCGACGACGAGCCCUCCGUCCUGCACCCCCCGGCCCCCGAGCCCCGCCCCACCCACCAUCAGCCACACCAGUCCCUACCACAGCCUCUGUCCCCCGCCCCACACCAGGAGCGACUCAGAGCUGCCCUCCGCUGCGCCCCCUGCUCCCCCUAAAGCAGCAGCAGCAGCAGCAACAGCCACAGCAGGUGUACAGCUGGCCCUACCCUCCACAACCACAGCAGUUCCAGUACCCUUAUGAUGCAGCUGAGGGGACUGACACUGCCACCACCACCACCACCACUGCCACCACCGCCACAACAAGGGUUAUUCAGGUGUUGCCCCAAUAUGCUUCAACCCCACAGCCCCACUCCCCCAUGACAGUGCAGGCAGGGAAUGUCAUACAGGUUGUUCCAGGGAGGUGGAGGUGGGCCACACACACCUGGGUUACCUGUGGCUUGGCUGAUCUCCCUCCUCCAGCAGCAAAUCCCAAGAAUCAACGAGGACAUUGUGGACCCAGAGAUUGCAACAGCAGCAAGAGAGAGAGAGAGAAGCAAGAGAGGAGGGAGAGGAAGGAGAGGAGGAGGAGAGAGAGAGGGAAGCCAGGAGGGAGGUACGUCAGAGAGAGAGGGAGAGGAAGAGGUUGAUUCUAUUACAACAACAACUGCAACAACAACAACAGUUAGUCAGUGAGGAGGGGGAGGGGCCGUCCUCUGAUGCUGAGGAUGAGGUAUUGUUCAGGGAGGCCAUGUCCGAGGUGCCAGUGGUGGGGUCGCCAGUUCCAGAGUACGAAGUGGAGGAGGAAGAGGAAGAAGAGGACGAGGAGGAGGCACGGAUGAGGAAGAAGAAAAGAUUAUUACCUGUAGCCCUCCCUCCAGCUGAUAAGGGGAUAUUAAUGAGGCCUUCCUACAGUUACGAGACCCAGAUGGUGUUCCUCGGCCUUUAGAUCUGAACUUCUUCAAGUAUUCUGCCUCAGUGGCUCGUUCCCCAUCCUUCAUCAACAUGAGGGAGGUGUCUUGUCGCUUCAAGCUGCCCCCUGGCACUUACUGCAUUGUGCCAUCCACCUUUGAGCCUAAUGAAGAAGGAGAGUUCAUUUUGAGAGUCUUCUCUGAAAAAGCCAAUGAAAUGGAGAAAAGCGUACCAGCCAGCCUGCCCACCACACCCAAGUCAACAACCACUCUGUCGUCACUGCAGAAAAACACAAUCAACAUGACCCGUUCUCCCCUAAGACUCAAAGGGUUCUCAAUGCAACACUGCUGAUUUCAAGAUACUGACAAGAACUGACUGUCACCUUGCUAUGUCCAACAGGAAAAGCGUACCAGCCAGCCUGCCCACUACACCCAAGUCAACAACCACUCUGUCGUCACUGCAGAAAAACACAAUCAACAUGACCCGUUCUCCCCUAAGACUCAAAGGGUUCUCAAUGCAACACUGCUGAUUUCAAGAUACUGACAAGAACUGACUGUCACCUUGCUAUGUCCAACAGGAAAAGCGUACCAGCCAGCCUGCCCACUACACCCAAGUCAACAACCACUCUGUCGUCACUGCAGAAAAACACAAUCAACAUGACCCGUUCUCCCCUAAGAUGACUAUGUUGGUAACAGAACUCUGGCAGGAAGAGGUGACGUUGCCUCGGACAUUCAGAGUGAGGGAGACCUUUGCAGAGGACACAGAAGAGGUGAACCAGGCCAACACAAGACAGAUGGGAUGCAAGAACACUGUUGACACAUCAAUACUUCAUACAAGGCAAUAAAGCGGCUACCACCACCAUGACCACCAUGACCACCACCACCACCACCAUGACCACCGCCACCACCACCACCACCACCACCACCACAGCACUCAGCGUGGCACAGAAGGAACAGAGCCAGGCGGAAAACAAGGACUAAGAUCCACUGCCACUUCCAAAUAAGGUAAUACAUGAAUUUUCUUGUUCUUUAGCUGUUUACCGAGAGCGAGCAGUUGUCUUUUGUGUUUCUCCCCUUUUUGUCAUUCUCUCUCUUGUAUUUCUUGUUCUUUAUCUUCUUCUCUCAUCCUUUUGCAUUUCUACACACAGUUCCC